rnacentral:misc_RNA from 1 species
CCGCGUUCAUUAUCGUCCACGGCACUUCCUUUUGCGCCGCCUAACCAUGCUAGCCACGGUAGCGUUGGUCGCCUGGACAGUGGUCGUCUUGGGCGCCACCAUCGCCGUUUUGCAACUGCUGCGUUGGCGAAAAAAACACUUCAGCUAUUUCAAGGAUCUCGGAGUUCCUGGACCUACUCCCAACAUCAUCUGGGGAAAUUUAUGGGAAUAUCACCGAAAGGGGAUCACAAAUGCAAUUGCUGAUUGGUGUGAGAAGUAUGGAGACGUGUUCGGAUUUUACAAUGGAGAUGUACCGACACUUGUCGUCAAAGAUCUUGAUUUCUUAUCCUACGUGCUAGUGAAAGACUUCGGAAACUUUAUGAACCGAGGGACCACGAUGCGCACCGACGAGCAGCAUCCGCUCCUUGGCCAGGGUCUGCUGCACGCCCGGGAUUUGCAGUGGAAGCGCACCAGGAGCGUCACGUCACACGCCUUCACCGCCGCCAAGUUCAGACAGGUAUUUCCACACCUGGACGACGCGUGCGACCGGCUCCUGGACCUGUUGGUCAAAACGGGUGACAGUGGCGGCAAGGAGGUUGCCGCCUACGAGCUGUUCAAACCACUCGCCAUGGAGUACAUUUCUCGCGGCAGCUUCGGUAUCGCAAACAACUUUCAGGAGGCCACCCAGCACCCGCUCUUCCAUAUGGCCACUCAGGUGCUCCCGGGAACCAUGAUCGGCCCCAUGCACAUGAUCGCCCAGUGCACGACGACGUUGCAGAGCGUGGUGGCACCUUUCCUUUGGCUGAACAGCAAGAUUGGCAGCUUCACUUACGACCGCUUUGCGAAGCUCGCCUACAAGGCCGUCGACGACAGGCGCAACAACCCACUUCCCGACGGAAAGAAGGACAUCUUACAGAUACUGCUUGACGCUGAAACCGAGGAAGAAGAGGUUAACGAUACAGUGACCAACGGUGUGUUCAAAGUCGACAAGAAGAUGUCCUCAACGGAAGUGUCUGUUAACACGGCAAUGCUUCUAAUCGCUGGUUUCGGUACGACCUCCGUGGCUCUGAGCUUCGUGUGCUACAUGCUCGCAAAUCACCUCGACAUCCAGGAGAGAGUCAGGGAAGAAGUGAAACAAGUCAGAAGAAAAUACGGUUCCCUGGACUACACGGCGGUGACGCAAGGCCUCAAGUACCUGUCGUGCGUGGUGGAUGAGACGCUGCGUGUCUUCCCUGUGGUAGUUGCGUUCGUCACUCGGUCUGCACGAGAAGACUUCGAAUACAAAGGCGUGAAGUACAGCGCCGGUCUGAGCAUCAUGUCCCCGACCAUGGUGGUCCAGAAGGACCCCAAGGCAUGGACUGAACCCGAACGAUUCGAUCCCGAUAGGUUCCUGCCGGAAAAUGUGGCCCAGCAGCACGGCAUGGCGUACCAGCCAUUCGGUCAAGGGCCCCGCAACUGCAUCGGCAAGAGGCUUGCGCUGAUCGAGAUCAUCUACACUGUGGGCCGCAUCGUGGAACGCUUCCGCCUGGAGCCCGGUCCUUCUCAGAAGGAGAACCUCGAGCUUCGCUUCUACUCGAUGGUGUGCGAGCCUCGCGAGGGCCCCUGGAUCAAAUUCAAGCCCAUACUGGAUGAAGAGCAAGCCUGAAGCUCGGAAAGCCGGUGAAGCAGCCCAUGCCUGCAUGUCCCCUUGUCGAGCGAAGGUCGCCUGGGGGGCGUCGGCACACAACGUGGCCACAUGCGGAGAAAUGAGGCCCGCACGGGACAAGUCCACACUCAGGUCCAGCUGCACCAGCUCACGGCCACGGUCAUCCUCAGGUUCCCGUUCAGCCAAAGGGUUACGCUAUCACACAAUGACAAGUCACAAAAGGCUGUACUGCCCUUGGAUUUAAACCUCAUCAAUCCAACGCUCUGAAAGACCAAGAGGA